AAAAAGGCGCGAGGAAGGUGGCGCAUGCGCAGUCGCCGUAUAACUAAUGGUUCAACUGAAGGGAUUCAUUUGAGAGAAUUUUCCUCACAAACCCAUAACAAAUCCAUAAAACGAGAUAACCUACAGCUGCAUGAAGUCUUCGAUACUUGCAAACCGAUACUUUCUAUGAACCAACACAAUCUGGAUCUUGGCAAAAUUCUUAAGAUUUGAAAAGAUGUUUAGGAUCCAGGUAUGGAAUUCAGGACUUGGGAAAAUGUGACAACAAAGGCAAUCAUAGAAGAAAAUGUAAGGAUUAAAAAAAAAUACUGUUCCAAGACAUACCAGAGUCAAAGGAUUCGGGAGAAGGCUCUCCGUGAGCAUAGUUUACAGUAGAUCGAAAGGACCGGGAAAGACAAGGAGGCAUUGCAUUGAAGUUGGCUAAUGUUUCCACUUAUGGUGGGCCUUCCAGAUAGGGAAGGACCCCUCUUUCCACCCCCACCCCCAAAACCCCAGAGAUUCAGCACCAAUGAUUUGGGAAGACUUGGGGCGUUGUUUGGUUGCAUGCGCAUACUCUCACUACCCCUGGUAGCAGAGCAGCUCUUCCCAGCGGAUGGGCUGCGAGAAGACCUCCCUCUCCAGCCAGAGUUCGUAGGAGUAGCGGAAGUCCUCGGGGAGGUCCAGUGGCUGGCCCAGGACACUCUGCAGGCAGUUGUCCACCGGGGAGAACUCCGGGUCUCGCGGCCGGUCGUAGCGCCGGGCGUUGAAGGCCUCGAUGUUGGCGCGCAAGGUGCACUCCUCCGCCUGGAAGUCCCACGGCCGGGCAUCGAUGUCUGCAAAACAAGGCAAAGGAGAACAAGGGUUGCAGCCUGGUCAGAUUCUGAGUGUUCAGAUGAGGAGGAAAGGGAUGCACCUGUGGCUUAUGGCAUUUUCAGAGGUUGUGAGCUUGAUUAGAAAUUGAAUAGUGUCUCCAAAAUUUAGCUCUCAUUCAUUCAUUCCUUCCAUUCAUACCCACACAUGUAAAAUCCAUAUCUGCACAUCAUAAUUCCAUGACAAUUCUACUCCAAGGCUUUCUUUUCAGUUGUUGGAAGCUUUGGUGCACUAACACUUUUGUUUUUAAAUAAUAAUAAUAAUUAAAAAAAACUUUAUUUAUACCCCGCCACCAUCUUCCCGUGGGGACUCGGGGCGGCUUACAUGGGGCAAAGGCCCCAACAACAUUGACGAAAUAAACAAUAAUAUAAAUACAAUUCAUGGUAUAAAAGAUCAAAACAGUAAUACAAUGUAAAACAAGAAUAAAACAGUUGAUACUAUCAGUCAACCACUACGUGCAGUUCUAUUAUCUACUUAGGUGGAGAAACUGGAGAAGCAAUGCAAGAAUAGAAUAAUAAGUUCAUAGACAGUAAGGACCUAAUAAAAUACAAGAUAGAAUAAUACCAUCUGGGGCUAAUUAUCUAAUGACAAUCUAACCAAGAAGGGAUUUUAAGCAUGCAGCCACUUUUUUUUGGGGGGGGGGGGGGGGAAUUGCAAAGAGCGCACCUUUUGCUGCUGCACAUUACAUUCCGCAGCAAAUACUUUUUUUGGUAUCAGGGUUUUGAAAUGUCAGAGUAAUGGUUUAUAUAGUGUGUGAAAUGUUCACUCAAGUAAGUGUGUGGUGCUUCGGUAGGCAUUCCAGCACAGGAAUGGUUAAGAGCAUAGAAUUAGAUUUACGUAGCUGGACAUAAGUCACUGGGAAUGGAAUGUGGGAGGCGACAAGUUCUACUUAUAAGCUUCUUCACUGGUCACCAUCAAUUCUGCCAAACGUGUGUUAGCUGCGCUUAUGUACAUAGUUGUAAAUAACUUCAAUAAAACUCUGAACUACCGGGA